GACGAACGCUGGCGGCGUGCUUAACACAUGCAAGUCGAACGGAAAGGCCCUGCUUUUGUGGGGUGCUCGAGUGGCGAACGGGUGAGUAACAUGUGAGUAACCUGCCCUUGACUUUGGGAUAACUUCAGGAAACUGGGGCUAAUACCGGAUAGGAGCUCCUGCUGCAUGGUGGGGGUUGGAAAGUUUCGGCGGUUGGGGAUGGACUCGCGGCUUAUCAGCUUGUUGGUGGGGUAGUGGCUUACCAAGGCUUUGACGGGUAGCCGGCCUGAGAGGGUGACCGGCCACAUUGGGACUGAGAUACGGCCCAGACUCCUACGGGAGGCAGCAGUGGGGAAUAUUGCACAAUGGGCGGAAGCCUGAUGCAGCAACGCCGCGUGCGGGAUGACGGCCUUCGGGUUGUAAACCGCUUUCGCCUGUGACGAAGCGUGAGUGACGGUAAUGGAUAAAGAAGCACCGGCUAACUACGUG
rnacentral:rRNA from 1 species